UGACGUCAAGUCCUCAUGGCCCUUAUGGGUAGGGCUUCACACGUCAUACAAUGGUCGGUACAGAGGGUUGCCAAGCCGCGAGGUGGAGCCAAUCCCAGAAAGCCGAUCGUAGUCCGGAUUGUUCUCUGCAACUCGAGAGCAUGAAGUCGGAAUCGCUAGUAAUCGCGGAUCAGCAUGUCGCGGUGAAUACGUUCCCGGGUCCUU
rnacentral:rRNA from 1 species